rnacentral:rRNA from 1 species
AACUGAAGAGUUUGAUCAUGGCUCAGAUUGAACGCUGGCGGCAGGCUUAACACAUGCAAGUCGAGCGGGGGAAGGUAGCUUGCUACUGGACCUAGCGGCGGACGGGUGAGUAAUGCUUAGGAAUCUGCCUAUUAGUGGGGGACAACAUCUCGAAAGGGAUGCUAAUACCGCAUACGUCCUACGGGAGAAAGCAGGGGAUCUUCGGACCUUGCGCU